CUUACACAGAGCUGGUCAGAUGGUUCCAGGAAGAAACAUUCAGCAGGUUGCACUUCAGUUGUUACAGCCUACCCCAAUACAUCCUUUCCAGGUAGGCUGGGAAAAAAACAGCUCAGAACAGAGAACGCCUUUUCUCCUAAUGGCAGAGCUCUGAGAAGUUUCCAUAAACAGUAAUAAAUACCACCGCAUUUAUUUUACAGACUAACAAGAUCCAAGACACAAUCCUAUUCUCCCUCUCACUCCUCUGUUGCUCUGUUGCACAAAGUACUGCUUACUCCUUGCCUUAAGCCUGGUAGAUCCUUAUUUGGUUGCUAACACCAAACCACACUGAGCUUCCACUUCAUCCCUUAAAGUUAUAGAAAUAUAGGCAGAAAUAUAACUCCUCCUCCACAGACAAAACCAUCUAGGUGCAGCUUAGAGAGUACAAAUGCUGCAGCUCUUAAAUAUAGCUAUGGUUCACCCCCCAAAUAAGAGCUCAUCCACACCAACUGAGAGCAGCUGUGUUAAUUUACAGGUGUAGAAGGCAAGCUUCUCAAGGAAAAAAGCAACAACACACAGCUGCUUUGUGAACCUCAAUUCCAUUUUCCAUACAGAUGGCUUAAGAAGUUAGGAAGAGAUCCGAGCUUUCAGAAGCAAUGUUUCUGAGUGUUGCAUCCAUCAGGCUCUGCUGAAAGCUGUGCUUUCUUGUGGGCAGCUCAGAACUGAGCAUCUCUCAUGGAAGUGCUCAGCACAAGCAGUGGGAUGUACUUCCCUUUUUGUUCACACGGGUGUUUCCUUGGGUUUUACUGCUUCAUAUCAGCACCUGGAGAGGCAGUGCCUUCCUUUACCCAAGCCUAACUGCAGGGAGACCCUUCCCUCUGAUGGUUCAUGAACAUGUGUGUCUGUUCACACAUGUGCCCAUUUUCCUUCCAUUCACCUGCCAGGAAGGUUUCUAAGAAAGCAGAAAUUGCUGGAAGUCUCCAAGCACAGAAUUGUGAUGCUGGAGGCAAUAUGCACAAUUUGCAGUUUGGGACCGUGAGCUCAGAUCUGUGUACGUGGUGUUUAAUGUGCAGCAAUGCACAUAGGAGGGAUUAUUCAUAGCGCCUACAACUCAACACCUUCAUUUAGUUUUAACGAGGCAAAGAAUCUGCGGAGGAGAUAAACAGAGUACUCUUAUUCCUGCUCAUGGGGUGAAGGAUUUGCCAAAGGCCUCAACAAAAGCAACAGCUGCUUUGUGAUGCUGAGCACAGAAGUACCUCUAUGGCAUCCUGCAGUAUUGCUGUCCCAGGCACAAGCUCUCCUCAGCCUACAGCUGAACACAGAAGACAAUGAAAUACAUCGCUUUGCUGUGCAAGAGGUCUCCCAGAUGAAGCAGAAAGGCAGCCCUUGCCCUUUAUGAAUUUAGCAGCUGAAGACUCCAACUCUUCACACCUUGCCAUUCUUACUCCAGUGUUGCACUGCUCAGCACUGGAGAAAUCGAACCCAAGAGGACACUCAGCGCUUUUAUUGCAGCCAACAAAAUUAAAGGCAAAAAGUCCAAUACCCCCUCUUCAUUUUCUUUGGACUGUCCUGUGCUGUGCUGUGCAUUAUGGAAUGGUUCAAAGUUGCAGUAAAACCUUCCCUUCUCUCGGCAAAAGAAAAAGCUAAGAAGCAUCACCUCAAAAACUCGGAGAUGUAAUGAAUCGGGAUAUUGAGCAAGGAACCGCUCACCAACUGGAGCUGCUUGAGUCACUCUCCAGAUGUACCUAGAGCAUCCCUACCAUCUUCUGUGCAAGUUCCCGGGGCAGGUUGGACCCGAUGGCUUGUUUCUCACAGAAAGAGCAUUGCAGGAGCUCUUGUGGAGAUGUUUUCAGUCUAAUAGCAGAGGUUGGAGCAGUUUGACAUUUCUUGAGUUGGGUGGGAUGAAUGAUAUUUCAUUAAUCACUGCUUUUGGAGUUACAUCACUGUCUAUGAAAUUGAAAAACAAAGUAUGACACGUAGUUUGAAAGGUUUUACCAUGGAAUUACGUAACUCUUCUGUGGUAGGGGAGUGGAACAGGCCAUCCUCCUGGGUUAGUCCAGUGUGGCUUUCUGUGCUACCUAAUGUCUUUUUCAUGUGAGAGUGGAUGUGUCUAAGCAGCACUGAAAAUUACACAACUGCUAAAUUGUGUCAUUGCUUUCCAUGGUCCCAAGAAAAUACUUUUAUUUUUCAUGUUAGAAAUCAGACACAGAACUACGAGAACCAGGCCUGUUAAAAUGGCAGUGACAUUUUUAAUAACCAACACCGGGGACUUUUUAAAUGAGCGGUGUUUGCAAGUGGAAAAUACCUAGCAACACGUCGCGAAUUUCCAUCGUCUUCCUGUGCUACAAGGAAGAAAAAUGCCAUUUUCAAAUGUGACCUUUUCCCCUCUUGUCCAUGGCACAAAUACAAUAAAAUAAAUACCCAAAGAACGGAUGAAUUAUUUGAAGGAUCCAAGCUAUGCAGCACUGGGUACCUGGGUCCAGCUGGCUGCCCUUUGCAGCAGGGGGUCCUCAUGCAUGUGGGCUGUUGUGGAAGGAGCAGUUCUGUAAGCAGAACAAGAAGACAGAACCCUGCAGCAGAUGCUGGAAGCUUCUUGCCAACCCACAGCCUGGAGAGGCUGUCUGAGCACUUGGAGUUUGG
rnacentral:lncRNA from 1 species